ACUUAAAUAGUUUAAUUUAAAAUUUUAAUUUGUGGUUUUAAAGAUGUAAGUACUUACUUUAGGUU
rnacentral:tRNA from 1 species